rnacentral:lncRNA from 1 species
AGGAAGCUGGCGCUGCUGGACAGGAGCCACGCAACACUCACGCCCGGGGGGAAGCUCGCACCCACCCACCCUGAGACAGCCACAGCCACAGCCACCAGGAGCAGGCUGAGCCCGUGGGCCAGGGAGGCACACCAGGCCGGCAGCAGGCGCUUCCGCAGACCCUCCACCAGUCCUGGGGAAGCAGAGACAGACCUGAGUGCUGGACCUGAGGGACAUGGUAGGCUGUGAAUUCAUCCCGGCCUCCAGGAGGCAGUUGCAGCCAAGCCCAUGUUAACCUGGGCGGGCAGUUUCUUGAGCCUCUUGGGUCACAGGGUCCCCCCGACAAAAAGCCGGAAGACCCUACCCCAAACGAGAGUGGGAGUGGUGCUGGGAGCCAGGGAACCAAGAGCCACUCCAGGCACCGAAGUCAGGCGUCCGCCUGCGUCCCUCUCCCGCCCGCUUGCUGCUGAUAAACCCAUCGCCCACAGCCUGACCAGCUGCCCUUACAGCAGUGCACAGUCUCUCAGGGUGCAAUGAGCCCCCCUUCAACCCUGCAAACUAUGAUUGGGUCUCAACCAUCCAACAAGCAUCUCUACAAUCUAGAGACGCCAGUGUGUCUGUCCCAUGCAGGUUUAUGGCCUAAAAUUAACUUCUGGACAAGGAAACAUAUGAAUGCCUUUCAAAUCCCAACAGUGUGUAGGGCUCCCUGAGGCCAGAGAUCUGCUUGUGUCUCCAGGAGCCAGUGACCACCGAGGCUGUGCCACUGCAUCGGGCCACCAUGCUGAUAUGCCCGGUCCCAGAGCUGCUAGAGAAGAGGUACAGAGGCAGCGAAGACACGUUGAGGGGGAGGACGAGACCAACUGCGAGACGCCGAGUCCCGGGCUCUCAGGACGCUCUCCCGUACCUGCGCCCUCGUCAGCCCAUCACCGAAAGAACGGCCUGACCCAGGGUCACACUGCACUGAAUGCUUCCUGUUUUGCUGUCUCUCGGAGGAUAAAAGACACUCUUGGCUGGGCGCAGUGUCUCAAGCCU